UACGAAGGGGGCUAGCGUUGCUCGGAAUCACUGGGCGUAAAGGGUGCGUAGGCGGGUCUUUAAGUCUGGGGUGAAAUCCUGGAGCUCAACUCCAGAACUGCCUUUGAUACUGAAGAUCUUGAGUCCGGGAGAGGUGAGUGGAACUGCGAGUGUAGAGGUGAAAUUCGUAGAUAUUCGCAAGAACACCAGUGGCGAAGGCGGCUCACUGGCCCGGUACUGACGCUGAGGCACGAAAGCGUGGGGAGCAAACAGG
rnacentral:rRNA from 1 species